rnacentral:rRNA from 1 species
AGUCGAGCGGAAGGCCCUUCGGGGUACUCGAGCGGCGAACGGGUGAGUAACACGUGAGCAACCUGCCCCAGGCUUUGGGAUAACCCCGGGAAACCGGGGCUAAUACCGGAUAUGACCUUGCACCGCAUGGUGUUUGGUGGAAAGUUUUUCGGCUUGGGAUGGGCUCGCGGCCUAUCAGCUUGUUGGUGGGGUGAUGGCCUACCAAGGCGACGACGGGUAGCCGGCCUGAGAGGGCGACCGGCCACACUGGGACUGAGACACGGCCCAGACUCCUACGGGAGGCAGCAGUGGGGAAUAUUGCACAAUGGGCGGAAGCCUGAUGCAGCGACGCCGCGUGAGGGAUGACGGCCUUCGGGUUGUAAACCUCUUUCAGCAGGGACGAAGCGUAAGUGACGGUACCUGCAGAAGAAGCGCCGGCCAACUACGUGCCAGCAGCCGCGGUAAGACGUAGGGCGCGAGCGUUGUCCGGAUUUAUUGGGCGUAAAGAGCUCGUAGGCGGCUUGUCGCGUCGACCGUGAAAACCUGGGGCUCAACCCCAGGCCUGCGGUCGAUACGGGCAGGCUAGAGUUCGGUAGGGGAGACUGGAAUUCCUGGUGUAGCGGUGAAAUGCGCAGAUAUCAGGAGGAACACCGGUGGCGAAGGCGGGUCUCUGGGCCGAUACUGACGCUGAGGAGCGAAAGCGUGGGGAGCGAACAGGAUUAGAUACCCU